rnacentral:rRNA from 1 species
CCUACGGGAGGCUGCAGUGGGGAAUAUUGGACAAUGGGCGAAAGCCUGAUCCAGCCAUGCCGCGUGUGUGAAGAAGGCCUUCGGGUUGUAAAGCACUUUCAGUGGGGAAGAAAGCCUUGGGGCUAAUACCCUCGAGGAAGGACAUCACCCACAGAAGAAGCACCGGCUAACUCCGUGCCAGCAGUCGCGGUAAUACGGAGGGUGCGAGCGUUAAUCGGAAUUACUGGGCGUAAAGCGCGCGUAGGCGGUCUGAUAAGCCGGUUGUGAAAGCCCCGGGCUCAACCUGGGAACGGCAUCCGGAACUGUCAGGCUAGAGUGCAGGAGAGGAAGGUAGAAUUCCCGGUGUAGCGGUGAAAUGCGUAGAGAUCGGGAGGAAUACCAGUGGCGAAGGCGGCCUUCUGGACUGACACUGACGCUGAGGUGCGAAAGCGUGGGUAGCAAACAGGAUUAGAUACCCGGGUAGUC